GAUGAACGCUGGCGGCGUGCCUAAUACAUGCCAGUCGAGCGAACAGACGAGGAGCUUGCUCCUCUGACGUUAGCGGCGGACGGGUGAGUAACACGUGGAUAACCUACCUAUAAGACUGGGAUAACUUCGGGAAACCGGAGCUAAUACCGGAUAAUAUAUUGAACCGCAUGGUUCAAUAGUGAAAGACGGUUUUGCUGUCACUUAUAGAUGGAUCCGCGCCGCAUUAGCUAGUUGGUAAGGUAACGGCUUACCAAGGCAACGAUGCGUAGCCGACCUGAGAGGGUGAUCGGCCACACUGGAACUGAGACACGGUCCAGACUCCUACGGGGGGCAGCAGUAGGGAAUCUUCCGCAAUGGGCGAAAGCCUGACGGAGCAACGCCGCGUGAGUGAUGAAGGUCUUCGGAUCGUAAAACUCUGUUAUUAGGGAAGAACAAAUGUGUAAGUAACUAUGCACGUCUUGACGGUACCUAAUCAGAAAGCCACGGCUAACUACGUG
rnacentral:rRNA from 1 species